rnacentral:tRNA from 1 species
GCGGGUGUGGCGGAAUAGGUAGACGCGCGGGUCUCAAACACCCGUUCCUUUUGGAGUGCCGGUUCGAUUCCGGCCACCCGCACCA